rnacentral:rRNA from 1 species
CCUACGGGCGGCAGCAGUGGGGAAUAUUGGACAAUGGGGGGAACCCUGAUCCAGCGACGCCGCGUGAGUGAAGAAGUAUUUCGGUAUGUAAAGCUCUAUCAGCAGGGAAGAAAGAAAUGACGGUACCUGACUAAGAAGCCCCGGCUAACUACGUGCCAGCAGCCGCGGUAAUACGUAGGGGGCAAGCGUUAUCCGGAUUUACUGGGUGUAAAGGGAGCGUAGACGGCGAUGCAAGUCUGAAGUGAAAGGCGGGGGCCCAACCCCCGGACUGCUUUGGAAACUGUAUGGCUGGAGUGCAGGGGAGGUAAGUGGAAUUCCUAGGGUAGCGGUGAAAUGCGUAGAUAUUAGGAGGAACACCAGUGGCGAAGGCGGCUUACUGGACUGUAACUGACGUUGAGGCUCGAAAGCGUGGGGAGCAAACAGGAUUAGAUACCCCUGUAGUC